GAUGAAGAACGUAGCGAAAUGCGAUACGUAAUGUGAAUUGCAGAAUUCAGUGAAUCAUCGAGUCUUUGAACGCACAUUGCGCCCUCUGGUAUUCCGGAGGGCAUGCCUGUCCGAGCGUCAUUGCUGCCCUCAAGCACGGCUUGUGUGUUGGGCCCCGCCCCCCGAUCCCGGGGGGUGGGCCCGAAAGGCAGCGGCGGCACCGCGUCCGGUCCUCGAGCGUAUGGGGCUUUGUCACCCGCUCUGUAGGCCCGGCCGGCGCCUGCCGAUCAACCAAACUUUUUUCCAGGUUGACCUCGGAUCAGGUAGGGAUACCCGCUGAACUUAAGCAUAUCAAUAAGCGGAGGA
rnacentral:misc_RNA from 1 species